AAACCCAUCUGUUUCACUGGACAAUGAUCAUGAAGGUUGUGCUGCCAGGAUGAGGUUAUCCCAUUGCACUCCGGGUGUGCUGACACAUGCGAUGUCCCCAAAUACGAGAUACUCGGCUGCAAAAUCUGUGGUAGUGGGGGACUGCGUUCGCGCUGACCCCGA